AUGCGUAAUGCAGUCUAAUGCAGUAUCCAACAAAGGUGAACCCCGGAAAAUCCUGGGUGGGAAAAAUCUGACCGUGGCUCGAGCCACUUUUGCCACGGUCUGGAUCCGCGCCUGAAAACUUCAAUAAAUGUUCUCUAAUACCACUGAACAGUAACGCACCUUCGCUGCUUAUUAACUAACAACAGGAAGGGCUGUCAAGAGACCUACAAGACGGGCAUAUUGUCUUCCACGUACUUAAUCUGUCCGUAUCAAAAACGUUCCGUAACUUUAUAAAAUAAUG